UACGUAGGUGACCAGCGUUGUCCGGAUUUACUGGGCGUAAAGAGCGCGCAGGCGGUCGUUCAAGUCGAGUGUGAAAGCCCCCGGCUCAACUGGGGAGGGUCAUUCGAUACUGAUCGACUCGAAGGCAGGAGAGGGAAGUGGAAUUCCCGGUGUAGUGGUGAAAUGCGCAGAUAUCAGGAGGAACACCAAUUGCGAAGGCAGCUCGCUGGGACGUGACUGACGCUGAGACGCGAAAGCGUGGGGAGCAAACAGG
rnacentral:rRNA from 1 species